CGGAGGAUCCGAGCGUUAUCCGGAAUUAUUGGGUUUAAAGGGUUCGUAGGCGGCUUUGUAAGUCAGUGGUGAAAUUUCCUAGCUUAACUAGGACACUGCCAUUGAUACUGCAGAGCUUGAAUAAUAUGGAAGUAACUAGAAUAUGUAGUGUAGCGGUGAAAUGCUUAGAUAUUACAUGGAAUACCAAUUGCGAAGGCAGGUUACUACGUAUUUAUUGACGCUGAUGAACGAAAGCGUGGGGAGCGAACAGGAUUAGAUACCCUGGUAGUCCACGCCGUAAACGAUGGAUACUAGCUGUUCGGAUUUCGGUCUGAGUGGCUAAGCGAAAGUGAUAAGUAUCCCACCUGGGGAGUACGUUCGCAAGAAUGAAACUCAAAGGAAUUGACGGGGGCCCGCACAAGCGGUGGAGCAUGUGGUUUAAUUCGAUGAUACGCGAGGAACCUUACCAGGGCUUAAAUGUAGAUUGACAGAUUUGGAAACAGAUUUUUCUUCGGACAAUUUACAAGGUGCUGCAUGGUUGUCGUCAGCUCGUGCCGUGAGGUGUCAGGUUAAGUCCUAUAACGAGCGCAACCCCUAUUGUUAGUUACCAGCGCGUAGUGGCGGGGACUCUAGCAAGACUGCCGGUGCAAACCGUGAGGAAGGUGGGGAUGACGUCAAAUCAUCACGGCCCUUACGUCCUGGGCUACACACGUGCUACAAUGGCAAGUACAGAAAGCAGCUACCUGGCAACAGGAUGCGAAUCUCCAAAGCUUGUCUCAGUUCGGAUUGGAGUCUGCAACUCGACUCUAUGAAGCUGGAAUCGCUAGUAAUCGGAUAUCAGCCAUGAUCCGGUGAAUACGUUCCCGGGCCUUGUACACACCGCCCGUCAAGCCAUGGAAGCUGGGGGUACCUGAAGUCGGUGACCGCAAGGAGCUGC
rnacentral:rRNA from 1 species